UACAGAGGUGGCAAGCGUUGUUCGGAUUUACUGGGCGUAAAGGGUGCGUAGGUGGUACCGUACGUCGGACGUGAAAGCCCAUGGCUCAACCGUGGAAAGUCGUCCGAAACUGCGGUGCUAGAGUGCAGGAGAGGAGAGCGGAAUUCUUGGUGUAGCGGUGAAAUGCGUUGAUAUCAAGAAGAACACCGGUGGCGAAGGCGGCUCUCUAGAAUGUUACUGACACUGAGGCACGAAAGUUGGGGGAGCAAACAGGAUUAGAUACCCGUGUA
rnacentral:rRNA from 1 species